rnacentral:rRNA from 1 species
UACGUAAGGGGCAAGCGUUGUCCGGAAUCACUGGGCGUAAAGCGCACGUAGGCGGCUUGGCAAGUCAGGUGUGCAAGCUCUAGGCUUAACCUAGAAAUUGCCUCUGAAACUACCUCGCUUGAGGAUCAGAGGGGAAACUGGAAUUCACGGUGUAGCGGUGAAAUGCGUAGAUAUCGUGGAGAACACCCGUGGCGAAGGCGGGUUUCUGGCUGAUUACUGACGCUGAGGUGCGAAAGCUAGGGGAGCGAACGGG